GAUGAACGCUGGCGGCGUGCUUAAUACAUGCAAGUCGAACGGAGACAGUAGCAAUAUUGUCUUAGUGGCGAACGGGUGAGUAACGCGUUGGUGACCUGCCCCGAAGAGGGGGAUAACAGUCCGAAAGGAUUGCUAAUACCCCAUGUGGUCGUUUGGAUUAGAUGCCUUAUGACUAAACGGAUUUAUUCGCUUCGGGAGGGGCCUGCGUCCCAUCAGCUAGUUGGUAAGGUAAUGGCUUACCAAGGCGAUGACGGGUAGGGGACCUGAGAGGGUGGCCCCCCCCAAUGGAACUGAAACACGGUCCAGACACCUACGGGUGGCAGCAGUAGGGAAUAUUGGUAAUGUGCGAAAGCGCGAACCAGCAACGCCGCGUGCGCGAUGAAGGCCUUCGGGUUGUAAAGCGCUUUUUAUGGGGAUGAGGAAGGACAGUACUCAUAGAAUAAGCCUCGGCUAACUACGUGCCAGCCGCCGCGGUAAGAC
rnacentral:rRNA from 1 species